AGCUUCCAGCAAGCUCCAUCCUUUCUGUCCCUGAGCCCUGUCCCACUCCUCCACUUUGAGGAGAGGGGCUACUGAGUGGGGGGAGGGAGACAGGAGCAGGGGGACAUCCGGAUAUCAGCACCCCUCUGGCCCCCUCCACCAGCAAGCAGGAAGCUCCCGGGAGCAGCUCCAAGACAGAGGGCAGAGAUCACAGAGAAGAAUCAGAGAUUUAACAGCUGUCUGAAUAGCGUAUUCAGUAUCAGAAAAGAUGAAUGAGAGAAGAGAAGGUAACAGGGUGCCUGGUACAUCACAGUCCCAGACGGGACAAGGCGGCAGAUGGUACCACAUUCAACUUCUCAUCAAACAUCAAAUCCAAAAGAAGUGCCUCAGACCACCACUGGGAGAUUUCUACGUGCAUGUCAACAAGACCACAGAUGCAAAAGUGCAAGAAAUGAUCUCCUCACCUGGUCCCUUGGACUUUCCCAGGUCAACUUUGGUCUAAUCCAUACAGCCGGUCACAUCCCAAACUGAAUCUUCAGCCUAGAUGUCAAUAGGUAGGACAUCACAGCCCAGCCACUAUCUUGGACUGACCAGCAUCUCCUCAAGGCAGCUGUCAGGGCUCUUCCAGCUCCCAGGCUACAAGAAAGAUCGAAGAUCCUGAUUCAACCACAAAAGCUCAUGGACAGGGCUGCCUGGGGGACAAGUGGGGCAAUUUGCCCCAGGCCCCGGGCUCCACAGGGGCCCCCACGAGACUAUAGUAUUCUAUAGUAUUGCAACUUUUUUUUAUGGAAGGGGCCCCCAAAAUUGCUUUGCCCAAGGCCUCCUGAAUCCUCUGGGCGGCCCUGCUCAUGGUCUCCACCAAAUUGCAAAGCAUGCUGAAAGAUCGCAGCCAUCCACCCACAAGACAAGGAGUCAAAAAUUUGGGGAAUCAUAAUUGUAUGCUAGCCUUGAUCAUUGACAGAGCUCCUUCCAAACAGCUCCUUCCUCCCAAUCAUCCACCCAGAUGCCCUUGGUAUUCUGACACUCUGUUCCAGAUUAUAAGAUCGGGGCAGAAACUCAAGCACCAAUGGCGUAAAAUGAAAUCUGAUACAGUCAUGAUGAAACAUUUAAUCCCACCCCAAUCCUAUUAUGAGGCUGUAUUAUGACCAAGAGAACCUUCCUAUCUGCCUUUGCUGAAGUUGCCAAAUCCUGCCCCUUAGAGAUGUGUAUGGUUUUAAAAUGCUUUAUCAGUCCGGAGUGCGUACAGCCUAUAUCAGAAACGAUCACCAAGUACCCUGAAGAGUUAUCAUCUUACUUCAAGAUAAUGCACAUCUGGGAAAGUUUCUCCAACAACCUGGACCAGCCCACCUGUACCCACCAACUCAUAGCCCACCGGCAUUCCCAGAGUUCAGUAAAUUCAAUCAUCAAGAAGUUCUGGACACCAUGAAGGAGUCACAACCCAUGAUUUGUGACUUUGACUCAUGUCCUUCCUGGUUUGUGAAAGAGUCAUGAGCAACUGUUACCUCUCAUGACCAAAAUAGCCAGCGCCUCAUUCAUGGAAGGAAUCUUCUCUUCCUCCUUCAAACACCCAGUAGUCCAAUCACUGAACAAAACCACUGGAUUUAUCCAGUUUUAGUUGGCUAAAACUGGAUAAAUCAGUUUUAGCCAACUAACACAGUCUCAAACCUCCUGCUCAUGAGCAAGCUCAGAGAAGUCAGCCAAAGGCCAACUACAGGUUCAUGUAAUUGAAUCUAAAGCCCUAGACCCAGAAUGAUCUGGAUUCAGGCCAGGGUAUGUGACUAAAACCACCUUAGUGGCACUGAUGGAUGAUCUCCUCCUGUCAAUGGAUAGAGAGCAGACAUCCAUUCUCAUCCUCCUGUCUCUCCUGAUAGAGGUAGCAGGUGUCCAGGGUUAUGUGCUAAAAUGAAUCUACUAAAUAAGUAAUGAUGGGAAACUGCACUUCCACCACUGAACACCAUGGGAAACUGCACCUCCACCACUGAACACCUUGCUUGUGAAGUCCCACAAGCAUCAACCAUCUCAUCUAGUCCUAUCUACAUGCAGUCAGCAGGUGAGUUGAUCAGAUGACACAGACAAAAGUGCCAGCAAUAUGCAGAUGGAUACAGCUCUAAUUAUCCUUCCCUACAUACAGGCGCAUCUCAUCUUACGCACAUUUAACAUGCGCAAAUUCAGCUUUGUGCAGUCAGGAAAAACAAAACAGAAAAAUAACAGUUUAAAUACUGUAUCUGUAGUGCGGGCAAUUCCGCCCGCCAUUACACUCAAUGUAAUUUUGAUCAUAAGCAAUUUUCGCUUUACGUGCUGACAGCGGAACGUAACUCCAGCGUAAGAUGAGACUCGCCUGUACAACCACACUACUACCACCAAAGUGGCCGUCAGCUUGGAUGAGAUUAGCCCAUGGAGCAAGAACUGCUGUCUGAAGCUCAACCAAAGCAAGAUAGAGGUCAGACUGGUGGGCACAGGAAGGCAUUUUGAAGAGUUAGCAACUAUGGUGCAGUCUCCUUUGGGUGAAGGUACAAAUCCACAAUUGUUCAAUUCAGUCCAUAGUCUAGGGGCACUCUUGGAUUCCUCACUGAUGUUACGCUCUCACAUAGCUGCAUUCAUGAAUAAUAAUUUCUACUAUCUCUGCUUGGCUAGGAGACUGCACCACAGCCUGUAAGAUGAUGACCUGGCUUCAGUUGUACAUGCCUUUGUCACCAUUCAGUUGGACUAUAGCAAUGCAAUAUACUGGGCAUGAAACCUUUGGCCCUCAGAAAACUCCAACUAGUACAGAAUGCUGCAGUGUGUCUCCUCAGUAACAUGGGCUACUGUGAGCAUAUCAAACAUGCCAUCCACUCCCUUUGCUAUAUGCCCAUAGAAAAUCAAAUCAAGUUCAAGGUCUCAAUCCUUACCUUCAAGGCACUCAAUGGCCUUGGCCCAAGAUAGCUUAAAGACUGCCUAAGGCUCUGGGAUGAGGACUGUGGUUGACAACUACACUCCUUUGGCACAGUGGAGCUUUCUACAGCCAGGGUAAAGUUCAUCUGUGUGGGAGACAGAGCCUUCUCAGGGCAGACCCAACACUGUGGAAUGAACUUCCUCAAGAACUGAGGCCAUCACAAACCUCACCAUCUUCUGCUCUUGCAAGUGCAUUUCUUUAACCUUGCCUCUUCUAAUAUAAGCACAUAGCAAACAUUAUAUAUAUCCACAAGACACGCCACUGCAUUCAUUUCUCUCCUAGGAGAGAGUGUGAAGGAAAAAACAUCACACGGCAGAUGUUAGUCAUGUUGCUUAAUGUACUACUGGAAGAAACUUAGAUUCUAUGGUGAUGAGCAUGGUAUGAGAGCCUCUAUAAAAUAGGAGAAUGGGGAUAAUUAUACUUCUCUCAGACUUAUUCAGAGGCUACUUUCUUUAAUGUUUGUAAAAACACUUUGAAAUGCUCACAUCGCAGACACUAUAGCAGAGCGAAGUUUUUUAUUUUGCUAAGAGUCUUUGCUGAUCUUUAAUGAGUCCUGAUUGGCCAGGUAUGUAAACUUACUCUUUCUCCAGUUGCAAUAUUUCAUUAUACAGUAAUGUUCAGUCUUUAAAAUGGUACUUUGUGGGAGUAACUUAAACAACAUAUAUACUGUGUAGUACAUAGUAUACAUGGUGUAUUUGGGAAUAUGAAAGAUGGCUUUAAGCAGUAAAACCAAUGAAAAUAGAUAUAAUUUCUGCAAUUCUAUGUUAAUAAAUUUCAAACUGAAAUGAUAAAUGAUCAAUAAACCAACUAAAUCAUGAGAGUUGAAAAAAUGUUGAAGAGUAGUAAGUUUUCCAUUCAUAAUGUUACUGAAUUCAUAUUUAAUGUGAAUUUAGAUAUAUAUUCUCUGAUCUCAUCCAUAUUCAUAGAAACAUUUUAUUGAUAGGCACCCUGGAAACAAAGAAAAAGGCAAAAUACUAUUUGCAGCUGCACUUACAGAUAGAACUGAUUGAGCGAGACUUCUCAAGGCAAACAGGUUGAAACAAAGCUUUCAUGGUGUUAAACCAGAGAUGACUUUGACUUACUGCCUGCAAAUGAAAUAAAAAUUCUCCUUCACUUACCCUCUUCCUGAUUUCAGUCCUGAUGCUACUCAGUCCCAACAAAAGGGACUGAAUUUGUUUUUUUAAAUUAUUUGCCAUGAAGUGGUGAAAUAUAUACUUUACCCAAUAAACAGACAUCUUAUAAAAGCAAACCUAGUCUGGGAUACCCUAGUCUGGGAUACUGACUUAGACUCCCAGUUACUGAAAAAAACUUUCCACAUAGACAACCUCUUUCUGAUAUGUGUAACAGAAGUAUGUUGAAGAAGAUUCUAAAAGAAUUUGAGUUCCUUUUUUUUCCAGCUUUUACCAAACAUUAACAGGAAUUACAUUUAAACAGACAACUCAAGAGGGAAGGGGGGGGGAGGGGAAAUCACCUAGACUUAUCUCACCAGUGGUUUCAGCUAAAUAGAAUCAGACUCUCACACAACAAAACAUCAUCAGACAUCCUCAGAUCAAGAGUGAUGGGAGGAGAUAGUUUCAGACUGGAAUUCAGUGGUUGCAGUAAACAAAGGAUUUAGUUUGGGUCUGGUGGGUCAGUGCUAAACAACUCUAUACAACACUACUUUACACUGGCUUCUUCACAGAAUGGCAUCAGCGGGUGUUCUAAUGUCAAUUUUAGGGACAAGUGCUUGUGAGAGCCAGUUUGAAAAUGGCAGAGUUCCAACAGCUGGAGCUUUCCCCAGGUUGUUCUGCAGCAGGGUAAGGCAGCUGCACUUGGCACUUCAACAAUCAGUCUGAGCAGCAUUGAUAUAUUUAUUCAUGUUUUGCUUAUUUUAAAUUUCUCCAUUGAUAACUUCAGAUUUGGGAAGAUAUUUUUUUCUGCAGAAGAAAUGUAUCGUUCAUAUUUGUUGCAUACUAAAUGGACAAUAACUUGAUUAUGUUCAAGGAAGCGUAGAUUCAUUUUAUGUUUGCCCUAACAAUAUAUUAGUUCUAAUAAACUUAACCUAAUUAAACUAUUGUUAUGAAAAAAGCCACCUGGUUUCCCCUCGGCUGCAAAUCGCACAAAUGCAAACAUGCGUGAUAAAACGUUUUCAUGUAAACAUUUAAUCUUUAAAGGUGACGGUUUAGUCUUUUAUAUAUGCUUAAGAAGUGAUCUCUUUUUGAAGAGCCAAUAUCUUAUGAUGCUUUGCUGCUAAUAUAGUCAUGCAUAUUACAACAAAAUUUCUUUUCCUUCUUUCUAGAAAUUCAUCAAAAGCUCACCCCAGAGUUCUAAUACAUGCUAAAACACAGUAGGUAUAUUUAGUGCAGCAUACCAAUAAAUGUGUUUUGAACUAUAUUCCUCAGGAAAAUGGCAGAAAGCCACAUCAGAUCCUCUCCCAUGAUACUUCCCUUUCCACAGUCACCAUCUUUCCUUUGAUAAGUCAUUAGAAGAUGACAUGCUGUAUCCUGGUACAACUAGAUCCUAGGGAAAAGUUGACAGAUGUUAAGAGUAUAAAUCAGUCCUGAUGCACAAUGUAUUGCCUCCAGAGGCGUCUUCUGGUCCUCUACUAAAGGUUACUGAACCAUGUAUAAUACAAAAAUGCAGAUACAAUUGUAAGAAAUAAAUGUAAGGUCCUGUUCUACCCCACUUAGAAAGUCUAAUGUAUGAAUAAUGUUCCAUCUGCACAAUGGUCAAAUGUGAAUGAAAUUGAUUUUAGAUGUACAGCUUUGAGCAGCGCUGACUAACAGGCUUAGUGACAUGAGGGACCUUGUCAGGAAUCUGUACAAAAUUCAUGAUACAAGAUAUUUGUAUAAAAGAGAAACUGGGACAGUGGAAGAGUGAGGUUAUAUUGUGAGAAACUUUUGUAUCUAGUAAUCCAAAUGGAUCAUACAUUGAAGGCAUUCUCGGGAAGGAUCUAACAAAGUUUAGUCAGAUGAAAUUUGUUGUAAGCAUGUGAAACAUGUCAAAUGUUGCUGUGCAACUACAUACCCUGGCCAUUAAUGUUUCUGGAUGCAUAAAUAACAUGAAAACAAUGGGGACAAAGCAGCGUUCUCCUCACUAACAAGUUUAGCUGGAUACAUUUUCUGCCUGCAGCCUCAACCUUUCAGCAACCCACUUUUAUCUGCAGCAUCAAGUAGCAUACCCCACCUGCACCUGUGAUAUUCUGCAGUUGCUGUAGGCUUCCUCAUAUCACUCCUAAGAUGCUAGACACUCAUCCAAUAACAUCUGACAAUUCUGUAGAGGGAAGAAAGGAGAGUUAGAGUAAUAAUAUUCCACACUUUCCCUUUCUAAUGCCAAAUGCUCUAUGACACAUCUAUGCUGGAGGGAAUUGAUGUGUAGAGAAUUGCUUUGGCCUCACAGCUCUUGAUCACACUCUUGCUUGUACAGUUCAGUAAUCAUUCAGAACAACCAUAUUAGCAGAACAACAGGAAGAACCUGUGCUUGAUCUUUAUUUGACGGGAAGGAGACCAUGUUACUGCAUCCCUUUACUGCAGUAGCUCUUUACAACAUAAUGGGACAUACCAUUCCACAUCUUGUUAACUUGAUUCCUAUUUGAUUUCAUUUAGAUAUGUUAUUCUCAUCCAAUUAAAAUCACUGUGGUUAAUUAAGAAAUGAUGAUUGGCUCUGAAGACAAAAUGUACUUAAAAAAAAACCCUGGUAACCUUAUCAAGCUACUUAACCAUAUGUUACUGGAAAAAGUAAUCAAAAGGAAUUCUAAAUUAGAUUAUUCCCCAAUAUAUGGUAUUUACUUAAAAUGGCUUCUUUGUAAAAAAUGACCUAUUUUAAUAUGUUUAGUACAAAAAAAUAGAAAACAAAGUUAUGAUAUUUAAUUUUAAAACUGAGUCACUGUUAAAAGCAUUUUUCUAUCAAAUUGUUCAGAUGGCAAUACUUAUGUUUGAAUACUAUCUACUUUGUUUAUAUUUCUAGCAACCGAAAUACUUUAUCUUCCCCCCAAAACAUUAUUUUAUAAACCUGCACCACUGUGUAAUGAAUGUGACUACUAAUCUUUCAUUAGUCCCUGUAUCUAUUAUAGACAAAAACCUACAUUAAAACAAUAAAAAUAUUGCCAAGUCAAACAUCAAAGAGUUGGGAAAUUCCAGAAUGCACAUACAGUCUUAAUUAGACCCUCAUGUGUUUAUGCAUUCUGAUGCAGUCUUUAAUAACAUAAUCACACACUGCCACAAGACCUCUGCCUCAUUCAGUGCUGAGGUCUGACAGUGCUCACUGACUGAGCACCUAUUCAACAUUCCUUUUAUCCUCUUCAACCAACGUGUGGACUCGUGCCUUAUUCACUGAACACUAGUCAAAUGCUACUCUGAAUCCAGAACUUCCUCAUGAACUUUUCUACGUCGCUCAUAACUAAGGUAUUCGGAUGCUUCACAAACAUUAAUGAAUUUAUCAUCACAACACUCCCCUGAGAUGGUAUUAUUAUCCCCAUUUUUACGAGUAAGGUGCUCAGGCUCCGAGAUAUUAAGGUAAGAAAUGUCCACUAAUUUUGGGUGCCCAACUUGAGAUAUCUAGGGCCUGAUUUUUCUGAUUACUUACCAUU